rnacentral:rRNA from 1 species
UAGGUUAAGUUAUAAAGGGCGCAUGGUGAAUGCCUUGGUACUAGGAGCCGAUGAAGGACGGGACUAACACCGAUAUGCUUCGGGGAGCUGUAAGUAAGCUUUGAUCCGGAGAUUUCCGAAUGGGGAAACCCAACAACAUUAAUCCGUUGUUACCACCACGUGAAUACAUAACGUGGUUGGAGGUAGACGCGGGGAACUGAAACAUCUCAGUACCCGCAGGAAGAGAAAGAAAUAUCGAUUCCCUAAGUAGCGGCGAGCGAACGGGGAACAGCCCAAACCAGGAAGCUUGCUUCCUGGGGUUGUAGGACUGAACAUUUGAGUUACCAAAGAUUUUCAUAGCCGAACAGUCUGGGAAGACUGGCCAGAGCGGGUGAUAGCCCCGUAGGCAAAAUGAAGAUCCCUCAGUUCAGGAUCCUGAGUACGGCGGAACACGUGUAACUCCGUCGGAAUCCGGGAGGACCAUCUCCCAAGGCUAAAUACUCCCUAGUGACCGAUAGUGAACCAGUACCGUGAGGGAAAGGUGAAAAGCACCCCGGAAGGGGAGUGAAACAGUUCUUGAAACCAUGUGCCUACAAGAAGUCAGAGCCCGUUAAGGGGUGAUGGCGUGCCUUUUGUAGAAUGAACCGGCGAGUUACGUUUACAUGCCAGGUUAAGUUGAAAAAACGGAGCCGCAGCGAAAGCGAGUCUGAAUAGGGCGACUGAGUAUGUAGAUGUAGACCCGAAACCAAGUGACCUACCCAUGUCCAGGUUGAAGGUGCGGUAAAACGCACUGGAGGACCGAACUCGUGUACGUUGAAAAGUGCUGAGAUGAGGUGUGGGUAGCGGUGAAAUUCCAAACGAACUUGGAGAUAGCUGGUUCUCUCCGAAAUAGCUUUAGGGCUAGCCUCGGAUUAAGGAUCAUGGAGGUAGAGCCACUGUUUGGACUAGGGGCCCGUCUUGGGUUACUGAAUUCAGAUAAACUCCGAAUGCCAUUGAUUUAUGUCCGGGAGUCAGACGGUGAGUGAUAAGAUCCAUCGUCGAAAGGGGAACAGCCCAGACCACCAGUUAAGGUCCCUAAAUAUAUGUUAAGUGGAAAAGGAUGUGGAGUUGCAUAGACAACUAGGAUGUUGGCUCAGAAGCAGCCAUCAUUUAAAGAGUGCGUAAUAGCUCACUAGUCGAGUGAUUCUGCGCCGAAAAUGUACCGGGGCUUAAACAUAUUACCGAGACUGUGGAUGCCACCGUAAGGUGGCGUGAUAGGAGAGCGUUCUAAGGGCAACGAAGGCAGACCGUGAGGACUGUUGGAGCGCUUAGAAGUGAGAAUGCCGGUAUGAGUAGCGAAAGACAGGUGAGAAUCCUGUCCACCGAAUGACUAAGGUUUCCUGGGGAAGGCUCGUCCACCCAGGGUUAGUCGGGACCUAAGUCGAGGCCGAGAGGCGUAGACGAUGGAUAACAGGUUGAGAUUCCUGUACUAGUUAAACUUGUUUGAACAAUGGAGGGACGCAGGAGGCUAAGGAAUGC